AUUGAACGCUGGCGGCAUGCCUUACACAUGCAAGUCGAACGGCAGCACGGGAGCAAUCCUGGUGGCGAGUGGCGAACGGGUGAGUAAAGUAUCGGAACGUGCCCAGUCGUGGGGGAUAACGUAGCGAAAGUUACGCUAAUACCGCAUACGAUCUAUGGAUGAAAGCGGGGGAUCGCAAGACCUCGCGCGAUUGGAGCGGCCGAUAUCAGAUUAGGUAGUUGGUGGGGUAAAGGCCCACCAAGCCGACGAUCUGUAGCUGGUCUGAGAGGACGGCAGAGCUGACUGGGACUGAGACACGGCCCAGACUCCGACGGGAGGCAGCAGUGGGGAAUUUUGGAUAAGGGGCGAAAGCCUGAUCCAGCCAUGCCGCGUGCAGGAUGAAGGCCUUCGGGUUGUAAACUGCUUUUGUACGGAACGAAAAGGUUUGGCCUAAUAAGCUGAGCUCAUGACGGUACCGUAAGAAUAAGCACCGGCUAACUACGUGCCAGCCGCCGCCGUAA
rnacentral:rRNA from 1 species